rnacentral:rRNA from 1 species
GACGAACGCUGGCGGCGUGCCUAAUACAUGCAAGUAGAACGCACAGUUUAUACCGUAGCUUGCUACACCAUAGACUGUGAGUUGCGAACGGGUGAGUAACGCGUAGGUAACCUGCCUGGUAGCGGGGGAUAACUAUUGGAAACGAUAGCUAAUACCGCAUAAUAUUGAUUAUUGCAUGAUAAUUGAUUGAAAGAUGCUAUUGCAUCACUACCAGAUGGACCUGCGUUGUAUUAGCUAGUAGGUGAGGUAACGGCUCACCUAGGCGACGAUACAUAGCCGACCUGAGAGGGUGAUCGGCCACACUGGGACUGAGACACGGCCCAGACUCCUACGGGAGGCAGCAGUAGGGAAUCUUCGGCAAUGGACGAAAGUCUGACCGAGCAAUGCCGCGUGAGUGAAGAAGGUUUUCGGAUCGUAAAGCUCUGUUGUAAGAGAAGAACGGGUGUGAGAGUGGAAAGUUCACACUGUGACGGUAUCUUACCAGAAAGGGACGGCUAACUACGUG